rnacentral:rRNA from 1 species
GAUGAACGCUAGCUACAGGCUUAACACAUGCAAGUCGAGGGGAAACGACAUCGAAAGCUUGCUUUUGAUGGGCGUCGACCGGCGCACGGGUGAGUAACGCGUAUCCAACCUGCCCAUUACUUGGGAAUAACCUUGCGAAAUUAAGACUAAUACCCAAUGAUAUCCCACGAAGGCAUCGGAAUGGGAUUAAAGAUUUAUCGGUGAUGGAUGGGGAUGCGUCUGAUUAGCUUGUUGGCGGGGUAACGGCCCACCAAGGCAACGAUCAGUAGGGGUUCUGAGAGGAAGGUCCCCCACAUGGGAACUGAGACACGGUCCAAACUCCUACGGGAGGCAGCAGUGAGGAAUAUUGGUCAAUGGGCGAGAGCCUGAACCAGCCAAGUAGCGUGCAGGAAGACGGCCCUAUGGGUUGUAAACUGCUUUUAUAAGGGAAUAAAGUGGGUCACGUGUGACUUUUUGCAUGUACCUUAUGAAUAAGGACCGGCUAAUUCCGUG